rnacentral:snoRNA from 1 species
UUUUGUGGAUGAUGAAACGAUUAUCAAAACAGUUAUCCCUGUCUGAGAUAUGCGUUGCGUAUUUGCUGAUACUUGAGUUCUGAUACCUUU